rnacentral:rRNA from 1 species
UCAUACAAGAAACCCAAAUCAAUAGCCAUCCGGCGUAAAGAGUGGCCAUAUGCUAUCUACACCCACUAAGAUCGAAAUGCAACUGAGCUGUCAUAAGCCCAAGAUUCACCUAAGCCCAACCCAAAACAUCUUAGCCCCUAUGAUCGAUUUUAAUCCACGAAAGCCAAGACACAAACUGGGAUUAGAUACCCCACUAUGCCUGGCCCUAAAUCCAGAUACUCCCAUACCCGUGUAUCCGCCCGAGGACUACGAGCACAAACGCUUAAAACUCUAAGGACUUGGCGGUGCCCCAAACCCACCUAGAGGAGCCUGUUCUAUAACCGAUAAUCCACGAUUCACCCAACCACCCCUUGCUAGCACAGCCUACAUACCGCCGUCGCCAGCCCACCUCAAAUGAGAGAACAACAGUGAGCUCAAUAGCUACCCCGCUAACAAGACAGGUCAAGGUAUAGCCUAUGGGGUGGAAGAAAUGGGCUACAUUUCCUAACAUAGGACAAACGGAAAAGGGCGUGAAACCCGCCCUUAGAAGGAGGAUUUAGCAGUAAAAUGGGAUCAAACUCUUAAGCCCAUUUUAAGACGGCCCUGAGGCACGUACAUACCGCCCGUCACCCUCCUCAAAAGCCACCAUAUGCCAAUAAAUAAAACCCCUUCCUGGCCAAGAUGAGGCAGUCGUAACAA